rnacentral:rRNA from 1 species
GAUGAACGCUGGCGGCGUGCCUAAUACAUGCAAGUCGAGCGAAUGGAUUGAGAGCUUGCUCUUAUGAAGUUAGCGGCGGACGGGUGAGUAACACGUGGGUAACCUGCCCAUAAGACUGGGAUAACUCCGGGAAACCGGGGCUAAUACCGGAUAACAUUUUGAACCGCAUGGUUCGAAAUUGAAAGGCGGCUUCGGCUGUCACUUAUGGAUGGACCCGCGUCGCAUUAGCUAGUUGGUGAGGUAACGGCUCACCAAGGCAACGAUGCGUAGCCGACCUGAGAGGGUUAUCGGCCACACUGGGACUGAGACACGGCCCAGACUCCUACGGGAGGCAGCAGUAGGGAAUCUUCCGCAAUGGACGAAAGUCUGACGGUGCAACGCCGCGUGAGUGAUGAAGGCUUUCGGGUCGUAAAACUCUGUUGUUAGGGAAAAACAAGUGCUAGUUGAAUAAGCUGGCACCUUGACGGUACCUAACCAGAAAGCCACGGCUAACUACGUGCCAGCCGCCGCAGUAA